rnacentral:piRNA from 1 species
UCCAGGUAUUAUAAUGAUUAUGAGGGAGAAA